rnacentral:rRNA from 1 species
UACGAAGGGGGCUAGCGUUGCUCGGAAUCACUGGGCGUAAAGGGUGCGUAGGCGGGUCUUUAAGUCAGGGGUGAAAUCCUGGAGCUCAACUCCAGAACUGCCUUUGAUACUGAAGAUCUUGAGUUCGGGAGAGGUGAGUGGAACUGCGAGUGUAGAGGUGAAAUUCGUAGAUAUUCGCAAGAACACCAGUGGCGAAGGCGGCUAUCUGGACGGUUACUGACGCUAAGACUCGAAAGCGUGGGGAGCAA